CCUAAUACAUGCAAGUCGAGCGGACCGACGGGAGCUUGCUCCCUUAGGUCAGCGGCGGACGGGUGAGUAACACGUGGGUAACCUGCCUGUAAGACUGGGAUAACUCCGGGAAACCGGGGCUAAUACCGGAUGCUUGAUUGAACCGCAUGGUUCAAUCAUAAAAGGUGGCUUUUAGCUACCACUUACAGAUGGACCCGCGGCGCAUUAGCUAGUUGGUGAGGUAACGGCUCACCAAGGCGACGAUGCGUAGCCGACCUGAGAGGGUGAUCGGCCACACUGGGACUGAGACACGGCCCAGACUCCUACGGGAGGCAGCAGUAGGGAAUCUUCCGCAAUGGACGAAAGUCUGACGGAGCAACGCCGCGUGAGUGAUGAAGGUUUUCGGAUCGUAAAACUCUGUUGUUAGGGAAGAACAAGUACCGUUCGAAUAGGGCGGCACCUUGACGGUACCUAACCAGAAAGCCACGGCUAACUACGUGCCAGCAGCCGCGGUAAUACGUAGGUGGCAAGCGUUGUCCGGAAUUAUUGGGCGUAAAGCGCGCGCAGGCGGUUUCUUAAGUCUGAUGUGAAAGCCCCCGGCUCAACCGGGGAGGGUCAUUGGAAACUGGGGAACUUGAGUGCAGAAGAGGAGAGUGGAAUUCCACGUGUAGCGGUGAAAUGCGUAGAGAUGUGGAGGAACACCAGUGGCGAAGGCGACUCUCUGGUCUGUAACUGACGCUGAGGCGCGAAAGCGUGGGGAGCGAACAGGAUUAGAUACCCUGGUAGUCCACGCCGUAAACGAUGAGUGCUAAGUGUUAGAGGGUUUCCGCCCUUUAGUGCUGCAGCAAACG
rnacentral:rRNA from 2 species